rnacentral:tRNA from 1 species
UCUAAUAUGGCAGAUUAAUGCAAUGGUCUUAAGAUCCAUUCAUAAAGAUUUUUUCUUUUUUUAGAA